rnacentral:rRNA from 1 species
GCAAGCGUUAAUCGGAAUUACUGGGCGUAAAGCGCACGCAGGCGGUCAAUUAAGUCAGAUGUGAAAGCCCCGAGCUUAACUUGGGAAUUGCAUCUGAAACUGGUUGGCUAGAGUCUUGUAGAGGGGGGUAGAAUUCCACGUGUAGCGGUGAAAUGCGUAGAGAUGUGGAGGAAUACCGGUGGCGAAGGCGGCCCCCUGGACAAAGACUGACGCUCAGGUGCGAAAGCGUGGGGAGCAAAUAGGAUUAGAUACCCUGGUAGUCCACGCUGUAAACGAUGUCGAUUUAGAGGUUGUGGUCUUGAACCGUGGCUUCUGGAGCUAACGCGUUAAAUCGACCGCCUGGGGAGUACGGCCGCAAGGUUAAAACUCAAAUGAAUUGACGGGGGCCCGCACAAGCGGUGGAGCAUGUGGUUUAAUUCGAUGCAACGCGAAGAACCUUACCUACUCUUGACAUCCAGAGAAUCCUUUAGAGAUAGAGGAGUGCCUUCGGGAACUCCGAGACAGGUGCUGCAUGGCUGUCGUCAGCUCGUGUUGUGAAAUGUUGGGUUAUGUCCCGCAACGAGCGCAACCCUUAUCCUUUGUUGCCAGCGCGUGAUGGCGGGAACUCAAAGGAGACUGCCGGUGAUAAACCGGAGGAAGGUGGGGAUGACGUCAAGUCAUCAUGGCCCUUACGAGUAGGGCUACACACGUGCUACAAUGGCAGAUACAAAGAGAAGCGACCUCGCGAGAGCAAGCGGAACUCAUAAAGUCUGUCGUAGUCCGGAUUGGAGUCUGCGACUCGACUCCAUGAAGUCGGAAUCGCUAGUAAUCGUAGAUCAGAAUGCUACGGUGAAUACGUUCCCGGGCCUUGUACACACCGCCCGUCACACCAUGGGAGUGGGUUGCAAAAGAAGUAGGUAGCUUAACCUUCGGGAGGG